GGGCCCAAGUUCAAGGGCCCAGUGGAGUCAUUGCUGGGGGAGGGAUCUGAAUCCACCAAUCGGCCAGCUUUGUAUAAGACAAGGACCUUUCUCCCUGAUCCUUUCGUCCCUGUAGCCCAGCCUACAGCAGAAAGAUGGGGCUGCACCCCUGCCGUGGGCUGAGGCUGGGAAGGAACGCGGACGGGGAGAAGGACCCAGGCAGCACCUCCCCGGGGACCAGAACUCGAACCCACAGCUCUGGACUUAGCCGGGGGCUGUGGCGCUGGCCUCAGCCUCUGGGCGGAUGUGCUGGAUAUUUGUUGCCCUAAGUUCCUGAAUCACCUCCUAAGAAAUGCAUUGUGGUGGGCGUGUGUGUUCCUCUGGAGACUCCAAAGCUUGGGCUUAAAGCAUUUAGGAAAUAAAUAAAAUAAAUACUCUCUAAGCCUCA
rnacentral:antisense_RNA from 1 species